GAAAGCGACGCUAAUACCGAAUGACAUCUCAAUAACUCCGGUCUUUGAGAUCAAAGGUGGCCUCUCCAUGGAAGCUACUGUUUGGAGAUGAGCCCGCGUACCAUUAGCUUGUUGGUAGGGUAAUGGCCUACCAAGGCGACGAUGGUUAGCUGGUCUGAGAGGAUGAUCAGCCACACUGGAACUGACACACGGUCCAGACUCCUACGGGAGGCAGCAGUGAGGAAUUUUGCGCAAUGGGGGAAACCCUGACGCAGCAACGCCGCGUGAGUGAUGAAGGCUUUCGGGUCGUAAAGCUCUGUCAAGUGAGAAGAACCUGUCCUUUGCUAAUAUCACUGGGCACUGACGGUAUCACUGAAGGAAGCACCGGCUAACUCCGUGCCAGCAGCCGCGGUAAUACGGAGGGUGCAAGCGUUAUUCGGAAUCACUGGGCGUAAAGAGCGCGUAGGCGGUUUCUAAAGUCAGAUGUGAAAGCCCGGGGCUCAACCCCGGAAGUGCAUUUGAAACUUAGGGACUUGAGUAUGGGAGAGGGAAGUGGAAUUCCUGGUGUA
rnacentral:rRNA from 1 species